CCUGCUUGCCAGCCUCCUCCCCUGUGACUAUGACUCUUUCAUGUAUUUGGCUUUAAAGCCCCUAGUCUACCUUCAGACAGACUAUUUAUGUAGGCUGCUUUAUUUAUCUUAUGUUUUAGUCACCCUGUACCCAUUAUAGGUGCAGGGUGUGUGUAAUGUAAUUGUUUAUAGUGUGUGUGUGUGUACUGUGAAAUGUAUUGCCUGCUCUCCUGUACUGCUGAGGUUUGCUACCAACUAGGUGGGUUUGGCUAUGGAGCUUGUCUAGUGCCCUCUGUUGGUAGCAACAGCAAUAUGCACUACCUGAAUUGCAAGACUGGUUCAUUUGCAUAUUUGGGUAGAUUUGCAUAUUGCUAAUUCUGCAGGCAGGUGAGAUAUUUACUGUUAAAUAUUGUCUCCCCCACCCCUUUAAAAAUGUGCCAUUGUGUUGUGAUAAGUCACUGUGUGUUGCCUGCUAUGGUUUGACUGUUUUUGAUUUUAUUGAGGUUUCACAACAAUGUUAUUGUGGUGACCCUAUGGGCUGGUCCCAAGGGAAAUAAAG